rnacentral:rRNA from 1 species
GAUGAACGCUAGCUACAGGCUUAACACAUGCAAGUCGAGGGGAAACGACAUCGAAAGCUUGCUUUUGAUGGGCGUCGACCGGCGCACGGGUGAGUAACGCGUAUCCAACCUGCCCAUCACUUGGGAAUAACCUUGCGAAAGUAAGACUAAUACCCAAUGAUAUCCCACGAAGGCAUCGGAAUGGGAUUAAAGAUUUAUCGGUGAUGGAUGGGGAUGCGUCUGAUUAGCUUGUUGGCGGGGUAACGGCCCACCAAGGCAACGAUCAGUAGGGGUUCUGAGAGGAAGGUCCCCCACAUUUGAACUGAGACACGGUCCAAACUCCUACGGGAGGCAGCAGUGAGGAAUAUUGGUCAAUGGGCGAGAGCCUGAACCAGCCAAGUAGCGUGCAGGAAGACGGCCCUAUGGGUUGUAAACUGCUUUUAUAAGGGAAUAAAGUGGGUCACGUGUGACUUUUUGCAUGUACCUGAUGAAUAAGGACCGGCUAAUUCCGUG